AAAAAAAAAAAAAAAAAAAAAAGAAAAGAAAAAGAAAGAAAAGAAAAAUCUUCCCCUCUUGUUUGUGCAAACAUUUACCUUGUCCUAUGGGGUGGAGCGUACAGCUGUGUGGUGCCCCCAAGCACAUGCUGACAUGACUAGUGGCCCUGGUCAGGGUGCUGCCUGUGUGUCUCUGUGUGUAUGUGUGUUAGGACAGCCGACAUGGAGCACCUACAACAUGGGGCUCAUAGGCUGGGCUACCUAAAAUCCUGUGACCCCAGGUUCAUGUUUCUUAAGACAGUGCUGUUCAGUAAGUUGUAUUACUGCAUCACGCUCCUCCCUCAGCCACACUUCACUUUACUUUUUGUUUGAAGUGUCGUACUGUGAAGUGUCGUCUGUGAAAAGAUGAAUGGGAGUUCUGCCAUGGCGCAGUGGAAACAAAUACAACUAGGAACCAUGAGGUUUCGGGUUCCAUCCCUGGAUCCUUAACUCACUGAGCGAGGCCAGGAAUCAAACCCAUAACCUCAUGGUUCCUAGUCAGAUUUGUUUCCGCUGGGCCAUGACAGGAACUCCAGAAGGUCCUUCCUCUUGAAAGCUGAGUGACAUUCCAUUGUGUGGACAGAACACGUUGUGUUACUGGGCUUGGAUUUUACUUAGAUCUGGUACACAGUCUUUUGUAUCGGCUUCUUUCUCCACUGCUCUGCCUGCUGGAUCCAUCCCUGUCGUUGCACAUGUCGGCAGCUUGUCCUAUGUUGUCAUAUGGUCCCCAUUGUGUGCCUGGACCAUCUGUGCAAACUCAUUCUCCCGUGGGUGGCCAUCAGGGUUGCAUCCACAGAGCGGGCUCAUCAUCAUCAUCAUCACUGUGAGAGAAGGUGUUCUGAGCUCCCAGGUGACCCAAACUCAGCCCAGGGUCACAAACACUGAGGAGAGGCCUGGGGGAGGCAUGCGGUUGUGGGGGGCCCUGGCUGGGAUAGUGCAGCAGCUGAGGUCCAGAGGUGGGAGGUCCGGCAGCAGUGCAGGGGUGGGGGGCAGUGGGGAUGCUUUGUCCUUUCCUGCAAGCAGCGUCUUCCAUGGCCCACAGCACGCACACACACACUUGACCUGUCUUUGUUUCCCUGAUCAGCCUGAGCUCACUCCCUGGGGAAGGUGUGCAGUGUGGGGGGCCUCUUCCCUGCUUCUCUCGCAUCGGAUGAUCCCAGGACAGACUCCUGCCCCACCCCUCUGAGCUCCACUCACUUUCAUUCCCAUGUGGGUCAUCUGCCCACACUCCCUCCCCCCUCGACGCUGCCACCUCCCCAGAGCGCAUACACAGCAGGCACCUAGUUAAUCUGACUCCAAAUAGAUUAGUAGAAAGGGUAGGGUCUGUGAGGAAGGGAGGCCCAAGGUGUGACUGGGCUCCUGCCACCCUGGGAUCCUGAUGGAUCAGAGAAGGGCCUCCCAGGGCAGAUGGGAGCCUGCGGCUGUUUUUUUGUUUGUUUGUUUUUUGGUUUUUGUCUUUUUAGCCUCUCGGCAUAUGGAGGUUCCCAGACUAGGGGUCAAAUCAGAGCUACAGCUGCUGGCCUACACCACAGCCACAGCAACAAGGGAUCUGAGCCACAUCUGCAACCUACACCAAAGCUCACGGCAACGCCGGAUCCUUAACCCGCCAAGUGAGGCCAGGGAGCGAACCUGCAUCUUCAUAGAUACUAGUUAGAUUUGUUUCUGCUGAGCCACAACAGGAACGCCUGGGGCUGUUUGUUUUUUUGUUUUGUUUCGUUUAUGUUUUUGUUUUUUUCCAUAAAGUACAUACAACUUAAACUUUACCAUUUCCCCCCUUUUAUUUUUCUAUUUUUUAUUUAUUUAUUUUUUUGGCCUCGCUUGUGGCAUGUGCAAGUUCCCAGGCCAGGAAUCAGACCCUUGCCACAGCAGUGAUAAUGCUGGAUCCUUCACUGCUAGGCCACUAGAGAACCUCCACCAUUUUCCCCUGUUUAUAGUGUACAGUUCAGUGGCAGUUAGUAUGAUCGUAGUGUUGUGCAACUCCUACUUCAAAACGAACAUUAUCAUCAUCCUGAAGGGAAACCUCCCCCUCCUCCAGCAUCUAGCAACCACUAAUCUAUUUUCUAUCUCUAUGGAUCUGCCUGUUAUGGACCUUUCAUCUUACAUGGGAUUGUACAACAUGUGACCUUUUGUGUCUGAUGUCUUUCACCUGGCAUAAGGUUUUCAAGAUUUAUCCACAGGGUAGCACGUGUCAGUGCUUCAUCCCUUUUUAUGGCUGAAUAAUAAUCCACUUCAUAGCUGGACCACAUUUUAUUUAUCCACUCACCUGUUGAUGGAUGUUUGGGUUGUUUCUGUCUUGUGGCAACUGCAACUAGUGCUGUUCUAAACACGGUGUGCAAGGAUUUGUUUGAACAUCUGUUCUCAGUUCUUUUGGGGAUGGCCUGGCAGUGGAAUUGCUGGGUCACAUGGUAACUCUGUGUUCAGCUAGUUGAGGACCCUACAGAGUGAUUUCUGUAGCGACAGCCCUAACUGGUAUUCCUGGUAUAUGAGGGCUCCAGGUUCUAUGGGCAAGUUCAGGCAGACCUUGGCAGGAUGAAGUUGGGAGAACAUGGUUCUUCAUUCGGCUCACUCACCCCAACUGGGUAUCAGCGAGCCCAGGCCCUGGGAGCUGGGCCAUCUCCCUGAGGGCGCUCCCCUAGUGAAAGGACAGAGCCAGCCUUGAACUCAUGACUCUGCCUUCCAGGUUACACAAGGAGAUACUUCCCUGACAGGUGACAGGAGAGGCCAGAGUGUGGCUUUCUACCACUGGACCCAUAAGGAACCACAGGAAUAGCCAUUAGGACCAGCCUGGUAGGUAAGGGUGGGCAACGAGGCAGAGCAUGGGGGGAGUGGGUGAGAAGAAACAGCACCUCUGAAAAGGACUGAUGCCAGGUCAUGUCCAGUGUGAAUCCACUGGGUGUGUCUUUAAUUAAACUUUAAUUAAAAUUAGCUAUGCUGGGAGUUCCCAUCGUGGCUCAGAAUCUGACUAGGAACCAUGAGAUUGCGGGUUUGAUCCCUGGCCUUGCUCAGUGGGCUAAGGAUCUGGCGUUGCCGUGAGCUGUGGUGUAGGUUGCAGACACGGCUCGGAUCCCGAGUUGCUGUGGCUCUGGUGUAGGCCGGUGGCUACAGCUCCAAUUCGAUCCCUAGCCUGGGAACCUCCAUAUGCCACAGGAGCGGCCCAAGAAAUGGUAAAAAGACAAAAAAAAAAAAAAAAAA
rnacentral:lncRNA from 1 species